rnacentral:lncRNA from 1 species
CCUCCUUCCUUCUUCUGCAUUUCGCCGCUCUUUUUCUCUCCACCUUCAUUCUUCUUACUCUUCUUCUACAUAUUAAAACCGAAAUAUAUACAACAUCAAUCACAUACGGAAGAAAAACAAUAAAAAAAGAGAAUAAUUAAGGAAAAUGCAAAUUGAAACUGUUAUUGCAAUUCUUACCUCGCCCAUUAUGAUUUUUUAGAACUUUCUAGAGAAUGAAAUAUGGAAACAGAAUGGAAACUGAAGGGCGGAGUGAAUUUAUAAUGAGGGGAAAGAGUGGAAGAAGGGUAGUUGUGUGUGCGCGAGAGAAGUGGAGAGUGGACCGUGUGGUACAGUGAUCUGUCAUGGGAAUAUGUG